rnacentral:rRNA from 1 species
UACGAGGGGGGCAAGCGUUGUUCGGAAUUAUUGGGCGUAAAGGGUGCGUAGGCUGUGCGGUAAGUCACCUGUGAAAACUCUGGGCUCAACCCAGAGCCUGCAGGCGAAACUGCCGUGCUGGAGUAUGGGAGAGGUGCGUGGAAUUCCCGGUGUAGCGGUGAAAUGCGUAGAGAUCGGGAAGAACGCCAAGGGCGAAGGCACUCUGCUAGGCCUGAUUUCGCGACUGACACUCAGGGACGAGAGCCAGGGGAGCGAAUGGG